UCAGGAAUGCUUGCUUAAUUGGAAUGAUAACGAGAAGAUUAGCAUGGCCCUUGCACAAGGAUGACAUGCAAAUUCGUGAUGUGUUUCCUAUUAAA
rnacentral:snRNA from 1 species